rnacentral:antisense_RNA from 1 species
UGGAGACGCUUGCGCUUUACCGGGCCGCACUUCCCACCCGGGUCUUCAGAAGCCUGUGGCCGCUGGGUGAGCCCCUGCGUGAACGCACACGCACGCACACGGCUUCAAGUUGCCCCGCGACGCCGGGCGCGAUAUCGGCUCGGGUCCCCGGAGGCCGUCCGCCCCGUUUUCAGCGGAUAGCUGAGGCCAGAUCACACCUGGCCGUAGGCCCAAAGCGAAACUAUCACUGGCACAGAAGCCUGGACCUGGAAGGGGACUCAUGGAGGAGUCCGCUGUCUUUUAGAGAUGGGAAAACUGGGCCCAAAUAACCAAGUCACUGGUUUCUUAGGCUUUCAGGCAGGAGGUUUGAGAGUUUGUCUUAAAGAGACCCUCCGUCUGGGGCCCAGAGCACCCCUCCUUCCUCAAUACGCGGCCACAUCCAAGAUAAUCAAGGUUAGUCCCAUGGGUGACAGAAAAAUAACCAUGGCAGUGAAUGUACUGCUGGGUCCUGGGUUUGCUGUUAUCAUUCUUCAAACAGCAGGACUGGGAAAAUACCGCCUGUCCCCUGCCUGCUCUGCACAUCAUUUUAACUUCAUAACUGAAAACAGCAGCCCUUUCCAUGGUUAACAACAUAAAUGUCAGUAAAUAUUCUACUCUUAAGAACAGACGUUUUACUUUUUUUAAGUUUUUAGUAUGAAAAACUGUAAACACAAGAAAUUAGAGGAAGAGUCCAGCACCUGCCAUUUGGCCACUGUCCAGACCUACUGUGUGCUUCUUGGGGAAAAAAUUUACAGCUUUGAAUGGCUGAGAGGUUUGGAAAGAAACAACUCAGUCCCCAUGGCCCGGAUGGAGAGAGAAUCCCUGCAGGCAGGUCCCCAUGCUGCCACCAGAUUGGAGCCACUCCUUGCUUCCUUUAGUCACAGUACCUGAAUGUGCCCGCCUCCUGGAGAGCGUCCUGGUUGCAGGCUUCCCUUGCCACCCACUCCAGAGGGUGCACCUGGCUCUCUUCUUGCUUCUUUAAAAGGACAUUGAGGCGCAUCUUGGAUACCCGCAAGAAAGAGGCUGUACAAAGGCAGAAACAGACUUUCAGCAUGGCCGUGGCUGAAAUGUUGGCUCCGGAGUGCUUCUGUCCCACCUCCCCCAGGAAGGGAAGUACGUUGGCCAGGCCAAUUCUAGAGCAGAAUCUGAGAGAUGCUCUUAGAUUCCCACUGUGUCACUGCUUCUGCUGAGCCAUGGAAACCUGAGAGGGUGUCCCGCAACAUGCAGUGAAAUGAUGCCCACUCCUCAGGAAGAGCCCACGUGGGGGCAGUGGCAAGAGGGGUCGGGAGGCUCAUACCGUGGCACGUGUCGUCCUCAUUUAAGAGGCCCAGGAGGAGCACCACCCUCCGCAUAUUGCGCGUGCAGCUCUCAUUCUCAUCUCUGAGCAUGCCCACGGCGCUCUGCACACAGCUCCUCAGCAGCCUGGUGGUGUCCAGGAUCGACACCUAUUGGUGGAGACGGUUGGGUCAUCCGUUUCUGUCACUGACACAGUGGGUAAAAGCCAAACCACCCAUAUGCGACGAGGGUCUCAAUGCACAGGGCGGCGGUCCUCACGGACAAAGAAGAGACGCCGACCUCCGCCCUGCACCCCCCAAACUGCCGGUGCAGAUGCCCUUGACCCCCAGUAACCCCCAGUAACCAGCAACAAGACCGUCGCUGUGUGAGGAAAGUGGGGCGCCAUCCUCACCCCUGCACAGCGGCGGUGACUCCUCUAGCUCCCAAUGCAAAAGCGUUUAAAGAUGCAGCUCAGAAGCAUCACCAGCAGCCCAAGGGGAGGUCCCAAGAACCAGAACUUACAUCACUGCCUCCGAGUUCAGAGGUUUCCUUUCCCACCUUCUCAGAACUUUCUGUUUCCAUGGCCUCCUCUGCCACCUCUGCCUCCUCUGCCACCUCUGCCACCUCCCCUGACGUGCUGGCCUCCGUUUCCAUCGCCUCCUCGUGGCCGUCUUCCGCCCGGUGUUCCAAACCCACUGCAGUCGAAGCAAACGUGAUUGCGUUACCACUGAGAAGGUGGCACAGGGACUGGCAGCGGUGCCAUCUGGGAGUCUGUGUGCUCAGCCUCCGAGUGCAGGCUUCCCCGGCCCCCGCUGUGGUGGUAGGUCCCCAGAUGAGAGAUGACAGUCAUGAAGAUCAGCCCCCAAGGCAGCCCCUUCCUUCCAGCCUGGGCUCUGGCCUGUUCUAGGUGCUGACUUCCAUGGCCGGCCUGCUCACAGAGCUCUACCUCAGCCUGUGGUAAGUGCACCUGCUCGACCCUGGUGCUCUAUGAUGAGCCACCAGUCAGUUCUGCAGAUGUGUCCCCGAGCUCCUGCUGAGGGAUGAAACAUGGUGGCCCUGCUCCUAGUGCCAUGUGCACGUCACGCUCCACACCUGCCAUCUGCCCUUCCACCAUCUGCUUCCCCAGGGGCUCUGCCUCGUGACUCACGCUCAGGCAAGUCUCCGGGCGCGAACAGCUGGCUGAUGGUGACGUGCUGCAGCCUGGUCACAUCUGAAACCAUGAGGGUGGAUCUCCGGAGGUCAUCGAUGUGGACAGACUGCCACAGCCCUGUGAAGAGUGAAGCCACCCACAACCGUCUCGUGUCUUUCCCGGCUGCUGCUCAGCCCUAAGCAGGGACAUUGCACACCCCGGCUUGUCAUUAUCUUGCUGCGCAAUGAAUGACUGGCACCCUGAAGCCGAAACCCUGGAACGGGCCUGCACAGGAACCACCCGACCCUAUGCUACACACGACCUGAUUCUACGCACAUCGACAACUUCAACAUAAGCAGCAACGGUAAGACCUGCAAUGGCAGGCGUGGGACGGACGUGUGGAUAAGGCCUGUGGUUCUGUCACCCAUGCAUUGUUGUAUUUGCUGUAUCACAGUUAGUGAGGGGUGGGGGACACUGGCAAGGUCUGCCUUCCAUUCUCCAGGAAAUUAUUCAAGUAAACUUACUUUCCUAUUUCUGGAAUAUCAACUUUUCUAUGUCAUAAAUAGCUGGUGACCAUUCCUUGGAAAAAAAAGAGAUCUGAAGACAGUCCGACCCCCGCCACUCUCCCUCCCCGCCAAACAGGCGUAUCGGUGCGUUCCUGACAGCGUCCGUCGGGAGUUGGGGGUCUCCACUCUGUGCAACCCACAUGCUAAGAGGUGAGGAGCUUGCCUACAGUCAGUCCAGGACAGGCUGCACACAGCCUCCCAUCCCAGGAUUCAUGUUUUCACGGUAAUCAGUAGUAAGAAAUCUAAUUGCAUCUGGAAAGAAUCCUCUUGAGGUUAACAAUAAUAUUCUAAUUUCAGACUUGUACAACACAGAACCAAAUGAGAAACAGUUCCAACAUGACUUAAAUAAAUAUGCUGACUGGGCUGGGUGCGGUGGCUCACACCUGUAAUCCCAGCACUUUGGGAGGCUGGGGCAUGGUGAAACCCCGUCACUACUAAACAUACAAAAAUUAGCUGGGCGUGGUGGCACACGCCUGUAAUCCCAGCUACUUGGGAGGCUGAGGCAGGAGAAUCGCUUGAACCCAGGAGAUAGAGGUUGUAGUGAGCUGAGAUCGCACCACUGCACUCCAGCCUGGUGACAGAGCAAGACUCCAUCUCAAAAAAUAAAUGAAUACAAAUAAAUAAAUAAAUACAUAAAUAAAUA